GCCUCCGUGGUACAGUGGUUCUGUACCAGGGAGUUCUAUGUGGGUCAGCACAUAGAUCGCUGGUUCGAAUCCAGCCGGAGGCA